AAUCAAUUAAACACCAUGGCUCAUAUUCAAACCACUCUUUCUACUGUCAUUUUUUGAUGGCAUGCUUGCAUUGGUGGUAUGCAGUGGAUAUCUAUCUCCCUUCAAGGGGUGAGGUAUCUUGGCAUGGUGGAUUGAAAGGUCUAACAUAUAGAAAUUUCUUCAGUGGGUACAUGAUCAGGACAGAAGAUACGGACUCAGAGAAGAAAAAAUAAAGGGAAAUUCACUGUCU
rnacentral:lncRNA from 1 species